ACAAGCUGCAGACAAAGUAAAAGUUCAGAUCAGACCUUCAACACAGGCGGCGGCAGCGACGCUGAUACUGAGACGAGUCAUAACACCGACGCCCGGCCCAAGGUCUGCAGACGCCAACACACACGAGCUGAUGAAGUAAACUCACCCUGACACACCCGGCCGUCACCCACGAAGCCCGGCAGGCAGGAGCAGAGAACCAGCCCGACACCAUGCCUUCACUGAAGCCGGCCUCUAGCAGCUUACUCUCACCAUCGACUGACGUGGAGAGGAACUGAAGACCAUCUCUGGGGUACAAGAGAAUGGCACAGGAGGACGACGCCAUGGAAACCACAACCAGCUGGAAGGUGUUUCUCUGAAAGAACAAAUCAGAUGUUGAUGAGCAGGUGACGAUGAAGGCACUGUUGGGCUCCACUCCUUCGUCUCUGGGGAAAGCUUGCCUGACGUGCUUACCGGCUCGCCUCAACACGUCCGGGCUGCUGUCCUGCCUGAAAAAGAC